UUGACAUUUACCUAGGCACAGCUCACAGGCAUGAUAAUGACUCUCAUAUGUGGACCCCACAAGUAGGAGUAAUUUUGACUCUUGUAACUUGCUUUAGAAACAUAAGUGAUGUCUUAGAUCUCUUUCUGGCGAAAAGGUCACAGAAGAUUAUAACAGCCUCAGAUAAUUUGCAGCCCUUGGCUUGUACAGAGAGUGUCAGAACAGAACCCAGCAGAAAGGAGAAAUUGUGAGUCUCAUAUGUACACCCAGCUGACUGUAAGGACUGUCACCAUCUUACAUACAUGAAGCCAACUGUCACACAUGAAAAGAGGACAUGUGUGGUAUUGUAAAUCUCAUCUCGAAUAUUCUCUCAGUGUGACUGUGAUAUAAAUCUUUGCCAAGCAUCUGUGUGAUUUGACUCUCCAAACUGGUUCCAGCCCAUAUAUACGGGAUUGUGAUCUCUACCUGGGCCAACCUCUAGAUAAUGUGACUCUCCUGCCUGGGCCCUUCUCUCAGUAAGGGUUGUGACAUAUCACUGGAUCUAACACCCAAGUGAUGUUACAUUCUUGCCUGGACCAUGCACAGAGACAUCAUUGUGACAUAUCACUGUGUCCACCACUUAGGUGAUGUAACUCUCCUCUCUGGAAUGGACCCUGAAUACGGAGUGGUAGUGACAUCUUCCUAGGCCAGACACACAGGUGUUGGUACUCUUUUUCCAGGGCUAUGUUUCAAGGAGGGCAUUGUGACAUAUCUCUGGACCUAUCACCGAGGUGAUAUGAUUCAACGCUUGGGCCUCACCGACGUAGAACAUUGUGACAUAAAAGUUAAACCUGCACCAAAGGUGUUGUAACUCUUUCACCUUGGUCCUGUCCUAAGGGAGCCCUGCAACAUAUCUCAGGACCCAGCACUCAGGAACAUUGUGACAUCGUUGGACAUAGCAUCUAGGAAAUGUGACUCUUCUCUCCUGCCUAGGUCCUGCCCACUAAAGGAAUUGUGACAUACCACUGAGUGCAAAACCUAGCCCUGUCUACAGUGGACAUGGUACCACAUGACUUGAGGCUGUAUCCAGGUGAUGUGACUCUUCUGACUUGGCCCUGCCUGCAAAGGAAAUUAUAAUAUAUCCUGAGCUCAGAAUCCAGGCGAUGAGACUCUCCUGCCUCUUUUCUGCCCACAAGUGAAAUUGUGACUUAUACCUGCGUUCAGCUCACAUGCACAAAUAUAACUAUUAUACCUGGACCCAGAAAGGAGAGAUAUUUGGACUCUUAUAGCCAGUCCUAUGGCCAUAAGUAAAGUAAAGGGUCCCCUGUUUGUAUAAAGCUCACAGAGGAUUAUGACACUCAGGCACAUCAUAUAAAGCCUGAGUGGUACAAAGAGUGUCAUAGCAGGGAACAGCAACCAGGUGCGAUUGUGACUCUUGGAUGCUCACCCAGCUGACCCGAUUGUCAUUCUCUCACAAGAACAGGGCCUACAUACAAGGCCAUGACCAUAGAUGAAAUUUUGACAUACGUGGACCAUACACCUAAGCGAAGGUGCCUGGGCCUGCCUACAAAGGGCACUUUUACGUAUUACUAGGACCAGCACGCAGAGCUGAUGGAGCAUCCAGAUGGAACAUAAACAGUGGACUUUUCUCACUCACUGAUAUCUGAGGACCCAGCACCAUCCCCCAAAAGAAUGUUUUAUAUCCCCACCUGCCCAGACUGAUCUGUCAACACAGGGAAUACUGUCAAUAUUUCAGAGUAUA
rnacentral:lncRNA from 1 species